rnacentral:rRNA from 1 species
AUGCCGCAGCUCCUUGACUUCCUCCGGACACUCUCCCCCGACGCCUUCAAGUCCUUCCCCUCCAGCUCCACCAAGGCACCCCCUCCUUCCUCCCUUCUCGAUUCCGCUCCCCUGCUAGUUCCCUCUCGAUUACUGGCGGUGCUAUGCUUUGUCGCAGGAGGAUCCGCGGAGUCGGCGGCCGAGCUCUCGGACUGGCAGCAGCGGCACGCCGUCCUCGUGCUCGCCAGAGCCAAGGAACUCGCUAAGGUCCGCUAUGAUCUGUGCCCACGCCACAUGAAGGACAAGCAGUUCUGGACAUACAUCUUGUCGUAA